GACGUAGGGCGCGAGCGUUGUCCGGAUUUAUUGGGCGUAAAGCGCACGUAGGCGGCUUGGCAAGUCGGAUGUGAAAUCCCUCGGCUCAACCAAGGAAGUGCAUCCGAAACUGCUGAGCUUGAGUACUUAAGAGGAUCGCGGAAUUCCCGGUGUAGAGGUGAAAUUCGUAGAUAUUGGGAGGAACACCAGUGGCGAAGGCGGCUCACUGGCCCGAUACUGACGCUGAGGCACGAAAGCGUGGGGAGCAAACAGG
rnacentral:rRNA from 1 species